CCCCUGCAGACUGGUGCUUAACG
rnacentral:miRNA from 16 species